CCGGCUCCAGCCUCCGCCGGCGGAGCUCCACUAUGCCAGACAGUUUCGACACUUUGCAAAGACAAAGACCAGAGCGAGGAGGAAGAGGAGGACGAGGAGGAAGAGGAGGCGGAGAGAGAGGAGGCAGGGGCAAUGUGAGCCGGGAACGGGCCGAGUGUUCGGGACACCCCCGUUUUUAUUCUCCUCCGGAUCGCCUCGUCCCGUACCCACCCCCAGCCCCAGAGCCCCGGAAACUUCCGCGUGUCUCCGGCCGCGGCCUUCAGUCUCAUGAGAACAAUGGCCGAUAGAACUGAAGUGAUGGCUUGCGCUUGGUAAAUUCUUGUUAAACGGAAGAGUGAACCAGGGGAGAUCAGCACAAGAAACCAUGGAGUCCCUGUAAGGUUCCCUAACCCAUUUCAGGCUGGUACUGUUUUCAAAUUCAACCUUUCUGAUGUGGAAAUGCCAGUAGAAGUGAUCAGCAUCUCCAGGGGCUGUGGUGAGCAGACACUCUGAGCUUUGUGUCCGGGACAGUCGUCUGAAGAGCAGAGAUGGACACUCCCUCAGCCCACUGAGAGGUCUUUGUGCUUUCAUGAAAACUGGGAGAUCCUUCUAUGACAAGUGCCUGUCAUCCCAAAGAAGCGCUACAAUCACAGUCUGGUGCAAUGACAGUCUGGCGUGUCCUGGGGUGAGCGCUCAGCCAGCAAACCCUGUGACCCACAGGACAAGUCCCUCCUGGCCAUGUUUUACAAAUAAAGUUUUACUGGCACUCAGCCAAGCUCAUCCAUCGGGGCUAUCUGUGGUAUGUCACACCACAGCAACCAUUGCGACAGAGAAAGUGUGGCCCCAAAGGUUGAAAUAUGUACAGACCGGUCCUUAAGACAAAAACAAAAUGUGUCGGUCCCUGGUCUAGAGCUGAGCUGUCCACAGAUAUCCACUCCAUCUGUGGCUAUUUAAAUUUUAAUAAAUGAAAAUUAAAUAAAGUUAAACCCAGAGCAUUCUUUUCAAUUAAAAACGAGUUUUUUUCAGUUAGUUCAUUUUUAUAUAAUUGAAAAUUUACAGGUAAGCUUGCAAGAAUAGUCAUGGGUACCCUUUACCCAGAUUUCUCAAUGUUAGCAUUUUAUAUAUCCCAGCGUUAUUAUAAACACAGUGCAGCUGAGUCAGAAGCUGAGCAUUGAUUUGCUGCUAACAUUGAUCUGUAGUUCACAACACUGACCUUUUUUGACACAGUCAAGCCAAUUAUUUUCCAGAAUAUCCCUCAGUUUGUGUUUGUCUGAUGUGUCCUUGUGAUUCGAUUGAGGCUGUGGGCUCUUGCCAGGAAUCCCACAGAACUGAUGCUGGGUCCUCAGCGUCUCCUGUUAGGAGGAGGGUGUCGGUCUGUCUCAGAGCUGGUGAUGUUGCUUUGUCAUCUGGUUGAGGUGGCCUCUGCGAGGUGUCUGCAUGUGAAAUUACCAUUCCAUUUUUAUAAUUAUCAAGUAUCUUAUUGGAGCGUCUCUAAGACUGUAAACAUCCUUUUACUCCUUAAUCUGCCACACGAGCUUUAGCAUCUAUUGAUGGUUCUUCCCUGCAUCAGUUUAUUAUCAGCAUGGUUACCAAAUAGCGAUUUUUCUCAUCUCAUUGUUUAUUUUUCAUUUGUUAGUUGGUUUUCCACCAUAGAAAAGAACAUUCCUCCUUCCUUUCCUUCUUUAUGCGGGUUGUGAACUGGC
ensembl:lncRNA